CAAUUAGUCUUUUACUCCGAUCUCUCAAGAUCCUUAUCCCUAGAAUAUAUGUAGCUUCUCCUAGGUCCUUCAUAGAGAAACACUUCCCAAGCCAGGACUUAACUUCCUGCAGAGUUGGGAUGUCAUUUCCUAUGAGUAGUAUGUCAUCCACAUACAACACCAAAAAGCUAACUAUACUCCCACUAGCCUUGACAUACACGCAAGACUCAUCUUCACUCCUAGAAAAGCCAAAUUCCUUGACCUUUUCAUCAAAGCAAAGAUUCCAUCUGCGAGGUGCUUGCUUCAAUCCAUAAAUGGAUUUAUCAAGCUUACACACUCUAUUAGGGUACUCGUUGCUGACAAAACCUUCUGCCUGACUCAUGUAAAUAUCUUCAACCAACUUUCCAUUAAGGAAAGCUNACACACAAGAUUCAUCUUCACUCCUAGAAAAGCCAAAUUCCUUGACCUUUUCAUCAAAGCAAAGAUUCCAUCUGCGAGGUGCUUGCUUCAAUCCAUAAAUGGAUUUCUCAAGCUUACACACUCUAUUAGGGUACUCGUUGCUGACAAAACCCUCUGGCUGACUCAUGUAAACAUCUUCAGCCAACUUUCCAUUAAGGAAAGCGGUUUUGACAUCCAUCUGCCAUAUUUCAUAGUCAUGA
rnacentral:lncRNA from 1 species